UCGUGCUUAGCAGCAGCUUCUGGGUGGUGCUGGCCCCUGGGUGCUUUACCAUCCCUUGUUGAUUUCCCUUAAACCUCACCAAACCUUUGUAAAUUGUCCUUUUCUCAAACUCUCUUUAAUUUCUCCUUUUGAAUUUGCCAUCUCUUUCCUGCCAGGACCCUGAGCUUUAAAAUCCUUAUGGCACAGUUCAGCUUCAUCCUGUGUCAUGUCUACCUAUGAGAAUAUCCUGAUGGCACAUUUGACGGAGCUCAUGUUUCAUAAUCAUUAUGGCUAAGGGCAGUGCCCCAUCUUGCUAAGGUUGGCAUGAUGCCUCCAGGGUUUCCUGUGCAUGGGUUAUGGAUCAUUUAUUUUUUGUUUAACCAAAGUGGUUUGCGUUGAGCUAUCUAUAUUAGACACCUGAUUCAAUUUGA
rnacentral:lncRNA from 1 species